rnacentral:misc_RNA from 1 species
GGAGACUUGGUAAUAACUUAUCAUGACGUCGGAGACGCCCUCGCACGCUCCAUAUGCGUGCGCUCCCCUGUUACCUACCUAGACCUUGACGAUGGUCGCUUUCCCGUUCUUCUUCUUCUUGACCUUGAGGCGGAUCUUACGGGCGCCGCCGUCGUCCGCUGGGCCAGCGGCGGCGGCGUUGUCCGCGGACGCGGCGAAGGACGUGGACGCUUCGUCCUCGGGCUUGGGCUCCUUGAGGCCCUUCAGGAGCAGCUCGGGCACCACCCAGUUGGACACGAAGUAGAAGAGCAGCAUCAGGGCACUGACCGGGACGAGCGAGGAGACGUCGCCGGUGUCGGCGGGCGAGCCGGGCACCAGCUUGGGGCUCAGGAUCUCGCUGAUGACCUCCGCCGAAGGCAGGGCCCGGAUCCUGCCGCCGGCGCGCGGCUGCCGGUGCCGCAGGCCCGCCGCUCCGACCCUCCGCCGCUGGCCAUGCGCGGGAGCAGCUGCUGCUGCUGCUGGGCGCUGCAGGGAGUGGGAGGUGAGCGCUGCCGUCUCCAUGGAUAAGAAAGGAGAUGUUUUUAGCUAGUGAGCAGUGAGCACUGAGCAGUGAGCCUGAGCGAGCACCGCAGCCUCUUGGACGGAUUAGAUAACGCAACGCGCCUUAUCUGCUACUGCGAAUGCUCUACGCGCCCGCCAUUCUUCUUUUUAUUUGGUGUUAAUUUCAAAGCCUGAACAAGCAUUUUCCGGCCCAGCUCCGAUCGGCACGUGGGCCAUUUCGAGCUAAAUCCCAGCUAGUAUCACUUGAAGCCAGU